rnacentral:rRNA from 1 species
GGGGUUUGACAUGCAGGUGGUACUGAUCUGAAAGGGGAGGGACCCUUAUCUUUGAUGGGGGAGCCUGCACAGGUGCUGCAUGGCUGUCGUCAGCUCGUGCCGUGAGGUGUUCGGUUAAGUCCGGCAACGAGCGCAACCCCUGCUCUUAGUUGCCAGCACGUGAUGGUGGGCACUCUAAGGGGACUGCCGGCGACAAGCCGGAGGAAGGUGGGGACGACGUCAAGUCAUCAUGGCCUUUAUGCUCCGGGCUACACACGUGCUACAAUGGCCGGGACAGAGGGAAGCGAAGCCGUGAGGUGGAGCCAAUCCCAAAAACCUGGUCCCAGUUCGGAUUGCACUCUGCAACUCGAGUGCAUGAAGCCGGAAUCGCUAGUAAUCGCGGAUCAGCUACGCCGCGGUGAAUACGUUCCCGGGCCU